rnacentral:rRNA from 1 species
GAUGAACGCUGGCGGCGUGCCUAAUACAUGCAAGUCGAGCGAACGGACGAUAAGCUUUCUUCUCUGAUGUUAGCGGCGGACGGGUGAGUAACACGUAGAUAACCUACCUAUAAGACUUGGAUAACUUCGGGAAACCGGAGCUGAUACCACCUGAUAUUUUCAACGGCUUGGUUCAAAAGUGAUAGACACUCUUGCUGUCUCUUAUAGAUGGAUCCGCGCUACAUUAUUUAGUUGGUAAGGUAACAGCUUACCAAGGCAACGAUGCAUAGCCGAGCUGAUAGGGUGAUCGGCCACACUGGAACUGAGACACGGUCCAGACUCCGACGGGAGGCAGCAGUAGGGAAGCGUCCGCAAUGGGCGAAAGACUGCAGGAGCAGCGCCGCGUGAGUGAUGAAAGUCUUCGGAUCGUAAAACUCUGUUAUUAGGGAAGAACAUAUGUGUAAGUAAAUGUGCACAUCUUGACGGUACCUAAUCAGAAAGCCACGGCUAACUACGUG